AUUGAACGCUGGCGGCAUGCCUUACACAUGCAAGUCGAACGGUAACGGGUCCUUCGGGAUGCCGACGAGUGGCGAACGGGUGAGUAAUAUAUCGGAACGUGCCCAGUGGUGGGGGAUAACUGCCCGAAAGAGCAGCUAAUACCGCAUACGACCUGAGGGUGAAAGGGGGGGAUCGCAAGACCUCUCGCUAUUGGAGCGGCCGAUAUCAGAUUAGCUAGUUGGUGGGGUAAAGGCCUACCAAGGCAACGAUCUGUAGUUGGUCUGAGAGGACGACCAGCCACACUGGGACUGAGACACGGCCCAGACUCCUACGGGAGGCAGCAGUGGGGAAUUUUGGACAAUGGGCGCAAGCCUGAUCCAGCAAUGCCGCGUGCAGGAAGAAGGCCUUCGGGUUGUAAACUGCUUUUGUCAGGGAAGAAAUCUUCUGGGCUAAUACCCCGGGAGGAUGACGGUACCUGAAGAAUAAGCACCGGCUAACUACGUGCCAGCAGCCGCCGUAA
rnacentral:rRNA from 1 species